AAUUUGAAAUCUGGCCCUUUCGGGGUCCGAGUUGUAAUUUGUAGAGAGUGCUUCGGGGGAGACCGCGGUCUAAGUCCAUUGGAACAUGGCGUCCCAGAGGGUGAGAAUCCCGUAUGUGACCGUGGCUCGAGCCCAUGUGAAGCCUCUUCGACGAGUCGAGUUGUUUGGGAAUGCAGCUCUAAAUGGGUGGUAAAUUUCAUCUAAAGCUAAAUAUUGGCUGGAGACCGAUAGCGCACAAGUAGAGUGAUCGAAAGAUGAAAAGCACUUUGGAAAGAGAGUUAAACAGUACGUGAAAUUGUUGAAAGGGAAGCGCUUGCAACCAGACCUGCCCGUAGGCGAUCACCCGCUGUUCUCAGCGGUGCACUCGUUCUGCGAUCAGGCCAGCAUCGGUUCUGGCGGCCGGAUAAAGGCCUUGGGAAUGUAGCUUCCCUUCGGGGGAGUCUUAUAGCCCUCGGUGCAAUGCGGCCAGCCGGGACCGAGGACCGCGCUUCGGCUAGGAUGCUGGCGUAAUGGUUGUAAGCGACCC
rnacentral:rRNA from 1 species